rnacentral:tRNA from 2 species
CGCGGGAUGGAGCAGUGGUAGCUCGUUGGGCUCAUAACCCAAAGGUCGCAGGUUCGAGUCCUGCUCCCGCCACAA